GUGAGACCCAAACAGCAGACAGAAUGGUCCCAGCAUGCUCGCUGCCUUUUUGUGUUUGAACAGUGGCUGUCAGUCCCAGCCUUGCAGGAUAAUUAAAAGAGAAACCUGUAAAAGCAACAUUCCCCGUGAGCGAGUUGGUGCUGCAACGUGCUGGUCUACGCUGCUGCAGAAAGGGGUGAUCCAGACACUCGGGUAAGAACUGUCUUCUGCAGGGCAGAAGGGUACUGUGCAGUCUCUGCUGGGAAGGUAGUGGUGGCGUUUUAUUUCCUUGCUGCUUUUCUACUUCUGACACUCGCUGGGACAUAAACAUUUUGGUUCGUUCUCUUGAGAAUUUUCUCCUCUGGAUUCGGACUAUUACUGAGUCUGACCCUCGUGCCUUUUGAGUCAUGUUUGCAGGAGAGUGUCACUGGGUAUUGGUGCGUCUAUGACAGACCACUCUUUGAUUUCACAUCCUCAUAUUACUAGUGCUCUGGGUUUAUUGUGAGAUGUUUUUAUUUCCUCAAGGCAUGAGCUUCUUCCUUAAAAAAUAAGGAUUAUAAAGAGCUAUUAGAAGUUUAUUCAGAGAAAUAGCUUUAUGGAUCUGGUUUUGAGAAUGGAAUCUGUCAAGUGUGCUUAUAUAUUGACUCUAUUUUAGCGUGGACACAAAGUCAUAUUCCUUCUGUCCUGUGAGGUCAGCACAGCCAAGAAAAGAGACCUCAGAAAAGGGACUUGUAUUCUUGAGCUGUUAACAUGGUGUCUAAAUUCAGGAUAAAAAUCUGUCUUAAGUAGUUCAAGAGUUUCCCUACUCGUGUAUUUCACUAUGAAACAUAGGAAUGGCUUACACACAGAGCCCGGAUCAAGGGAGAAGAAAUCAAACAACUGGUUUCAGGUCAUCCGCUCAGAAGUUAUUUUCCCAGGUCCCCUUGCAAUCCUUCUUAGCUUAUUAAGUAUUGCGGCACUGGAUACUGUGGACCCCACACUCUGGAGUAGGAAUCACUGAGAAGCGAUUCCUGUUCAUGGUAGUUUCAUUCAUUAACGCUAUUGCAUUCAUUUUGGUGUUGUUGAUUUCUAUGGUCCUGUUUCUCAUUUUUCCCCCCAACACAUUCCCUGUUCCUGUUUCUUUUGAAUGUUUUAAUCCAAUUACCAGCUCCGUAAACGAGCAUUUGCCACAUCUACGGUAAGUGCACUGAACUGUAGUGGAAGUGAUUUCUGAUUACCCACAAGCUCGUUUCUAAGGGACACAGGAACAACAAGCAGUGAACUGAAGAAAGAAUAAUGGAAAAUGCCUUGUUAGGUGACUGUGGCAAAGAUUCAGAGCACAGAUGCUAAACAAAAAGUCACAGAAUUCUGAAACACAUAGAUACUCUCCUGGAAAGUGCUUCAGAUCUGAGUCAUAUUGGAUCAGCUUAGUUAUCCGAAAAAAAUACGUUGCAGACUUUAUAAAUCAAGACUUUUAUUAAUAUUGGGCUAGACUUUCUGAGAGGAUAGCAAAAACCAACCGAAAAAAAAUGAAAAACAAAAACAAUUAGACUCUUGAAAUUCCUAGAAUUUUGUUAAUGAAGCCAAGAAUAACUUUAGAUUUGGGAUUUCUGAACUUUUUUCUCCCUUUGGUGGUCCCCUUGUCUCUACCGUUUCUAGAAUGUCUACUUUCAUGGCCUCUUACUCCCACAAAAGAGAAACUGACAUUUCUUGGGCCUUGACCUAGGACUAAUAAAAAGUGCUUUGUUAAAACUUUCACUUGCUACCUGGAGUCAGGCCUUGAAGCCAGGCACAGAAGACUGGGGGAGGGGCGUAAUUGUUGUAGUCUGAGCCCACAGAUGAGCAAGUGUCCCAAGAAGUCAGAACACUUUCUCAGAAUCCCUAGAGUGCUAGGACCAUACAUCCCAGAUUAAGUCGCUUUUCUGCGAACAUGAUGGCUGCUGGAGAUCAUGCUCUCAGAGGUAGAGUCAGAACCAAGGCAGUGGGAGCUUCAGUGCCUGCCUGGGUGUGAGUGAUAGAUGAAAAUGGUGGCAAGUCCUUCCCACUGCCAAAGGCCUCCACAGUAACGGUUUUAAAAAUCAAAAGGAACCCCAAAAUGGUUGUCCAAUAGGGCCAGCUUCAUCCCAAGAAUAGAACAUUGUAUUUCAAAGCAGGUAAAGAUUCAUAGUUUUCAAAGUCUGGGCAUGCCAUAAGGCAGGGUUGCUGAUAUAGUAAUCUUUGAACCAUGCCAACUGAGACUCCCACAUUAUAAUGUACUAAUUUUUUUUUGGCAAAGCCUAGGAAACCAGGCACAGAUGACUCUAGGAUCCAAUUUAUCUGUUUCAUAGGUAUAAUGAGGAAUUUUCAAGACAUGUCCUACUCUGGUUUUGCUGAGCAUGUAGCAAUGAGUAUCUAGAGGUACAGGGAUCGGUUCUGAGUUGGGUCCUGCCUUCCUUUCUCAGGGGCCAAAGAAAAUUAGAGUGCAGAGAUGUAGUUUUUACUGCACUCAGUCAUUCAGCCUUACAUAUGUCAAAUCAUCAAAUUUCCAUAGUAUUUAAGAAGCAUUUGACUGCCAAAUGAUGAAUAAAAUGUGUGAUUUAAACACCGAAAUCUAAAGUUUAAUGUCUCUUUUAUGGUUUCAUGAUGUACUAUAAAAUACAAGGCAUAACUUUGGAUGACAACGGCAGUCACCCAAUCCAGCCUACAAAUUUGCCUCUUGUGAUAUCAGAGCUUCCCUAACUGUAAAGUCCUAUUCAGCUAUGACACAGGGGUUGUAACCUUGGUUUCAGGACUUUUAGAUUACAUAUUAGAGGCCAAGUUCUAAGUAUGGAGAAGGUGGUCGUUUGAACCGGACCAUGCAAUAGCUUGACUCACUAUUCCAGGACUUUUGUUGAGAGAUAGGCAGCUCUUUCUGCGAUGUGGGGUGAUGGAUGGCAAAGGACUCUGUCUCCUGAAUAGAGCAUGGGAUUUCACAACGCAAAUAAAGAGAAUUAAACACGUAAGACUUAGUAAAUGAAAACUGGUGCUCAGGGGAGAGAUUAUCUACUUUUUUUUCUUCUCUAUUUGAUAGCGAUUUCAGAAUCAUUUCCUCUGCAGAAGAAGUCACUUCAGAAUUGAAUGGUGGCAAGGGGUAUAGACUGUACUCUUUGGGUUUUGUCAAAGACAUCUAGACAGUCAGUGCUAAGUGUUUAGAAUGCUUCAGUGCGGUGUGAUGGGUAAUUCCAUUGGCAUUUCCACAGUACCAACCUGGUAGUCAUCUUCCUUUGCUGUGUUAAUACAUUGAGGAAAAGGGGGUGCUUUGGUCAGCCAUGUGCCUUUUUGUAGGUAAUCUACAAAGAUUCUCAAAGUUACCGUUUAGAUCAGGGAGCUCUGGCAGAAAACUUGAUGUCUAUAAAAGUUGUCAAUGGGUCUGUUCUCCAUAGCCUCUUGCUGACUCACCUUUUCCCGAUGAAAUAAAGAAAACUCUUCAUCACCUGACUUCACAUUCUUAGAUCAGCCACACAGCAGUUUUCCUACCUCGAUUCCUGAGCCCAGGUUUCCUGAGUAACUUCUACCUGCUAUGUUUCUCUGUCCAUGAUGUUUCUGCAGUUAAACUCUGGGCUCUUCUUUUUCCCAUCUACCAUCUCACCGAAGACUUUGUUGUAGAAUAGCUUCACAGAGCAGCAUACACAAAACACAGUCUGGAUCACCACUGUUUUUCCACGACCACCCAGAAUCUAUGCCUAAAAGGACUGCUGUAGAAAUGGAAGAGGUUAAUUUCCUUUUGCUUCAGACUUGCUCUGCAGACCUCGGUAGAGAGACGAAUCUGCUCUUUAAAAAUUUAUUUCCUUGGCAGUUUCUCUUCCUAUAAAUGGGAACCUGGGAUCUCAUAAAACUGAUUUAAAAUUAUCAAAUGCUAUUGAACCAACCUAAUGAAAAUUUUAACCAAAAGUCAUUGUGAAUUAGGUAUGUGAUAUACUGAGAAUGCAAGCCUUUGUAAAGUAGAUAUUGUUCUUAUGUAAACUCAUGAAUGGAGACUUUCUUGAAUAAAUUACUUCUUAAUAACAUCAGAGAGUCAUUGGCUGGGUAAAUAUCUCCCUGGGCACUCACUGAGGUUUCUGAAUUUAAAUGUUCAAUCGAACUUCUUAUUUGUCACAAUUCCUAAUGAGUUUUUCUUUAUGAAAUCAUUGUUAGUAUGAAAAAGUAAGAAUUUGUACCUAAUUUCUAGAUUAAUGGUCUUUAAAAGACCUCAAGGGGUUGGAUUUUUUUUCUUGCUAAAACACAAAAUUUACAUAAUUUCUAUUGCCCAAAUGUUUAAACUCCUCAACCCACUGUUUGCAACCUGAAGCCUGAAAAAGAAAAAUGAUCUGAGCAGGCAGAAUGACUGGAUUCCUGUUUAGGAGAACAAUGGGCCUGCUUAAAGGGCCUGAAGGCAAAACCAUUUCUCCCACCCUGGCCUGUGAGGUGUGUGAAGACUUUGCAGACAUCCUUUUCAGACUCACAUCCCACCAAGGCCAGACACUGUCAAGUUCAGCACCUGCUAAGCCAGUCUGGGAGUUGUAGUGAUUUGAAUAAGAAUGGUCCCGUAAGCUCAUAGAUUUGAAUGCUAAGUCAUCUGGGAGCAUGCGUGACCUCUCAAGGUGUGGCCUUGUCAGAGUGGGUAUGGCCUGGUUGGGGGAAGUGUGUCACUGGUUUCAAAAAGCCAAGCCAGGCCUUUCCUGGUGCCUGUUGAUUCAGAUGUAGAUCUCUCAGUUGCUUCUCUAGUACCAUGUCUGUCUGCAUGUAGCUAUGCUCCCACCAUAACAGACUAAACUCUGAAGCUGUAGCCAAGCCCUAAUUAAAUCUUUUCUUUUAUAAGAGUUUGGUGGUUACAGUGUUUCCUCACACCAAAGCAUCCUGACUAAGACAGUUGUUACAGUUAAAAUAUGGAGGGUUUUUUUUGUUUUUGUUUUUGGGGUUUUUGUUUUGGUUGGUUGGUUUUUUUCGGUUUUUUUUUUUUUUGUUU
ensembl:lncRNA